GUGCUUGCUUUGGCAGCACAUAUACUAAAAUUGGAACGAUACAGAGAAGAUUAGCAUGGCCCCCGAGCAAGGAUGAUGCGCAAAUUCGUGAAGUGUUCCAUAUUUUU
rnacentral:snRNA from 1 species